rnacentral:rRNA from 1 species
GACGGAGGAUGCAAGUGUUAUCCGGAAUCACUGGGCGUAAAGCGUCUGUAGGUGGUUUAAUAAGUCAACUGUUAAAUCUUGAGGCUCAACCUCAAAAUCGCAGUCGAAACUAUUAGGCUAGAGUAUAGUAGGGGUAAAGGGAAUUUCCAGUGGAGCGGUGAAAUGCGUAGAGAUUAGGAAGAACACCAGUGGCGAAGGCGACUUACUGGACUGUAACUGACGCUGAGGCAUGAAAGCGUGGGGAGCAAACAGG